rnacentral:rRNA from 1 species
UUAAGCGACUAAGCGUACACGGUGGAUGCCCUGGCAGUCAGAGGCGAUGAAGGACGUGCUAAUCUGCGAAAAGCGUCGGUAAGGUGAUAUGAACCGUUACAGCCGGCGAUGUCCGAAUGGGGAAACCCAGUGCAAUUCGUUGCACUAUCGUUAACUGAAUACAUAGGUUAACGAGGCGAACCGGGGGAACUGAAACAUCUAAGUACCCCGAGGAAAAGAAAUCAACCGAGAUUCCCCCAGUAGCGGCGAGCGAACGGGGAGCAGCCCAGAGUCUGAAUCAGCUUGUGUGUUAGUGGAACGGUCUGGAAAGUCCGACGGUACAGGGUGAUAGUCCCGUACACCAAAAUGCACAGGCUGUGAACUCGAAGAGUAGGGCGGGACACGUGGUAUCCUGUCUGAAUAUGGGGGGACCAUCCUCCAAGGCUAAAUACUCCUGACUGACCGAUAGUGAACCAGUACCGUGAGGGAAAGGCGAAAAGAACCCCGGCGAGGGGAGUGAAAAAGAACCUGAAACCGUGUACGUACAAGCAGUGGGAGCACCUUCGGGUGUGACUGCGUACCUUUUGUAUAAUGGGUCAGCGACUUAUAUUCUGUAGCAAGGUUAACCGUAUAGGGGAGCCGCAGGGAAACCGAGUCUUAACUGGGCGUUAAGUUGCAGGGUAUAGACCCGAAACCCGGUGAUCUAGCCAUGGGCAGGUUGAAGGUUGGGUAACACUAACUGGAGGACCGAACCGACUAAUGUUGAAAAAUUAGCGGAUGACUUGUGGCUGGGGGUGAAAGGCCAAUCAAACCGGGAGAUAGCUGGUUCUCCCCGAAAGCUAUUUAGGUAGCGCCUCGUGAACUCAUCUUCGGGGGUAGAGCACUGUUUCGGCUAGGGGGUCAUCCCGACUUACCAACCCGAUGCAAACUACGAAUACCGAAGAAUGUUAUCACGGGAGACACACGGCGGGUGCUAACGUCCGUCGUGAAGAGGGAAACAACCCAGACCGCCAGCUAAGGUCCCAAAGUCAUGGUUAAGUGGGAAACGAUGUGGGAAGGCACAGACAGCCAGGAUGUUGGCUUAGAAGCAGCCAUCAUUUAAAGAAAGCGUAAUAGCUCACUGGUCGAGUCGGCCUGCGCGGAAGAUGUAACGGGGCUAAACCAUGCACCGAAGCUGCGGCAGCGACACUAUGUGUUGUUGGGUAGGGGAGCGUUCUGUAAGCCUGCGAAGGUGUGCUGUGAGGCAUGCUGGAGGUAUCAGAAGUGCGAAUGCUGACAUAAGUAACGAUAAAGCGGGUGAAAAGCCCGCUCGCCGGAAGACCAAGGGUUCCUGUCCAACGUUAAUCGGGGCAGGGUGAGUCGACCCCUAAGGCGAGGCCGAAAGGCGUAGUCGAUGGGAAACAGGUUAAUAUUCCUGUACUUGGUGUUACUGCGAAGGGGGGACGGAGAAGGCUAUGUUAGCCGGGCGACGGUUGUCCCGGUUUAAGCAUGUAGGCUGGUUAUCCAGGCAAAUCCGGAUAAUCAAGGCUGAGGUGUGAUGACGAGGCACUACGGUGCUGAAGUAACAAAUGCCCUGCUUCCAGGAAAAGCCUCUAAGCAUCAGGUAACAUCAAAUCGUACCCCAAACCGACACAGGUGGUCAGGUAGAGAAUACCAAGGCGCUUGAGAGAACUCGGGUGAAGGAACUAGGCAAAAUGGUGCCGUAACUUCGGGAGAAGGCACGCUGGUGUGUAGGUGAAGCCCCUGCGGGUGGAGCUGAGACCAGUCGAAGAUACCAGCUGGCUGCAACUGUUUAUUAAAAACACAGCACUGUGCAAACACGAAAGUGGACGUAUACGGUGUGACGCCUGCCCGGUGCCGGAAGGUUAAUUGAUGGGGUUAUCCGUAAGGAGAAGCUCUUGAUCGAAGCCCCGGUAAACGGCGGCCGUAACUAUAACGGUCCUAAGGUAGCGAAAUUCCUUGUCGGGUAAGUUCCGACCUGCACGAAUGGCGUAAUGAUGGCCAGGCUGUCUCCACCCGAGACUCAGUGAAAUUGAACUCGCUGUGAAGAUGCAGUGUACCCGCGGCAAGACGGAAAGACCCCGUGAACCUUUACUAUAGCUUGACACUGAACAUUGAGCCUUGAUGUGUAGGAUAGGUGGGAGGCUUUGAAGCGUGGACGCCAGUCUGCGUGGAGCCAACCUUGAAAUACCACCCUUUAAUGUUUGAUGUUCUAACGUUGGCCCCUGACCGGGGUUGCGGACAGUGUCUGGUGGGUAGUUUGACUGGGGCGGUCUCCUCCCAAAGCGUAACGGAGGAGCACGAAGGUUAGCUAAUCCUGGUCGGACAUCAGGAGGUUAGUGCAAUGGCAUAAGCUAGCUUGACUGCGAGCGUGACGGCGCGAGCAGGUGCGAAAGCAGGUCAUAGUGAUCCGGUGGUUCUGAAUGGAAGGGCCAUCGCUCAACGGAUAAAAGGUACUCCGGGGAUAACAGGCUGAUACCGCCCAAGAGUUCAUAUCGACGGCGGUGUUUGGCACCUCGAUGUCGGCUCAUCACAUCCUGGGGCUGAAGUAGGUCCCAAGGGUAUGGCUGUUCGCCAUUUAAAGUGGUACGCGAGCUGGGUUUAGAACGUCGUGAGACAGUUCGGUCCCUAUCUGCCGUGGGCGCUGGAGAAUUGAGGGGGGCUGCUCCUAGUACGAGAGGACCGGAGUGGACGCAUCACUGGUGUUCGGGUUGUCAUGCCAAUGGCACUGCCCGGUAGCUAAAUGCGGAAGAGAUAAGUGCUGAAAGCAUCUAAGCACGAAACUUGCCCCGAGAUGAGUUCUCCCUGAGACUUUAAGUCUCCUGAAGGAACGUUAAAGACGAUGACGUUGAUAGGCCGGGUGUGUAAGCGCAGCGAUGCGUUGAGCUAACCGGUACUAAUGAACCGUGAGGCUUAACCUU